rnacentral:misc_RNA from 1 species
GAUGAAGAACGUAGCGAAAUGCGAUAAGUAAUGUGAAUUGCAGAAUUCAGUGAAUCAUCGAAUCUUUGAACGCACCUUGCGCCCCUUGGUAUUCCGAGGGGCAUGCCUGUUUGAGUGUCAUUAAAUUCUCAACCUUACUAGCUUUGCUGGUCUGGCUUGGAUAUGGAGGUUUAUGCAGGCUCUCGAGUCAGCUCCUCUGAAAUGCAUUAGCGGUACCUCUGUGGUAUAACAGCUAUUGGUGUGAUAACUAUCUACGCCAUUAGUCAGUGCCACGCAUAUAAAGGGGCUAUGCUGCUGUCUAACUGUCUACUUGCUAGACAAUACUUGACAAUCUUGACCUCAAAUCAGGUAGGACUACCCGCUGAACUUAAGCAUAUCAAUAAGCGGAGGA